rnacentral:tRNA from 1 species
GGGGAGGUACCCAAGUGGGCGGACUGUAAAUCCGCUGGCACUGCCUUCAAAGGUUCGAAUCCUUUCCUCCCCACCA